UGCUUCUGAAUGGGUUUUAAAAGAAGGUGGAAAAACCAGAUCCCUACUAUGUUGACGUAACUGUGGCAAAUGUUGCGUUAGCAAAAAUGCAUGUUUGUGGUGUCAUGCUGCCCAACUCCUGCGAAACCUGAUAGACAAGGUGUGGGACAACAGAACAGAUGGUUGGUUUGUCAAUACAGUGGCACCUUGUAACUCAACGUCCCCUAAACUCGUGAAAGCCCUUGAGAAGCAUAAGAAAACAAUAAAGAAGUAAAGUGUAUAAGCAGGGCUCUCAAGUCUCACGCAGUUCAACAAGCUCACACUGAGAAAUGAUGAACUUCGCCGCACAGAAAUGACUAUAACCUGUCCUACACACGAGUCAAAAAAAGGCUUGUUCGAGAUGAACUGCGCCUCGCCUUGGUGGUCAGUGAGAGCUUAAACGACUGUAUAGGCUUGUUCGAGAUGAACUGCGCCUCGCCUUGGUGGUCAGUGAGAGCUUAAACGACUGUAUAGGCUUGUUCGAGAUG